UACGUAGGAGGCAAGCGUUGUCCGGAGUUACUGGGCGUAAAGGGCCCGCAGGCGGUGGAGUAAGUUUGGAGUGACAGUUCCCAGCUUAACCGGGAAAGGACUUCGAAAACUGCUCGACUUGAGGACUGGAGAGGAAGGCGGAAUUCCGGGUGGAGCGGUGAAAUGCGUAGAGAUCCGGAGGAACACCAGUGGCGAAGGCGGCUUCCUGGUCUGCGACUGACGCUGUGGCGCGAAAGCUAGGGGAGCGAACGGG
rnacentral:rRNA from 1 species